UACGUAGGGUGCGAGCGUUGUCCGGAAUUACUGGGCGUAAAGAGCUCGUAGGUGGUUUGUCGCGUUGUUCGUGAAAUCUCACGGCUUAACUGUGAGCGUGCGGGCGAUACGGGCAGACUAGAGUACUGCAGGGGAGACUGGAAUUCCUGGUGUAGCGGUGGAAUGCGCAGAUAUCAGGAGGAACACCGGUGGCGAAGGCGGGUCUCUGGGCCGAUACUGACGCUGAGGAGCGAAAGCGUGGGGAGCGAACAGG
rnacentral:rRNA from 1 species